rnacentral:rRNA from 1 species
AAUGAACGCUGGCGGCAUGCCUAACACAUGCAAGUCGAACGAAGCCUUCGGGCUUAGUGGCGCACGGGUGCGUAACGCGUGGGAAUCUGCCCUUGGGUUCGGAAUAACAGUGGGAAACUACUGCUAAUACCGAAUGAUGUCGUAAGACCAAAGAUUUAUCGCCCAGGGAUGAGCCCGCGUAGGAUUAGCUAGUUGGUGUGGUAAAGGCGCACCAAGGCGACGAUCCUUAGCNGGUCUGAGAGGAUGAUCAGCCACACUGGGACUGAGACACGGCCCAGACUCCUACGGGAGGCAGCAGUGGGGAAUAUUGGACAAUGGGCGAAAGCCUGAUCCAGCAAUGCCGCGUGAGUGAUGAAGGCCUUAGGGUUGUAAAGCUCUUUUACCCGGGAUGAUAAUGACAGUACCGGGAGAAUAAGCUCCGGCUAACUCCGUGCCAGCCGCCGCCGU